UUUUAGCCCCGAUAGCAGUGGAAAUCCUUUUUGUGCCUGGGUUCGGCACAAAAGAUUGCAACGGAUAGCGGGAAAUUGC
rnacentral:sRNA from 2 species